CGGCGGACGGGUGAGUAACACGUGGGUAACCUACCUAUAAGACUGGGACAACUUCGGGAAACCGGAGCUAAUACCGGAUAAGAUAUCGAACCGCAUGGUUCGAUAGUGAAAGANGGUUUUGCUAUCACUUAUAGAUGGACCCGCGCCGUAUUAGCUAGUUGGUGAGGUAACGGCUCACCAAGGCAACGAUACGUAGCCGACCUGAGAGGGUGAUCGGCCACACUGGAACUGAGACACGGUCCAGACUCCUACGGGAGGCAGCAGAU
rnacentral:rRNA from 1 species